UUCACAACCCUAGAGACUGAAGUCCUCUUUCUAUGCACAGAGCUUCUCCAGUACAGAAAGUGGCAGUACAAACAUCUCUGUUGUGGCUUGCCACUAUUCCUCAACCCUGACCUGAAGGGACAACUUCUAGGAGUAAGGGGCCAGUUCAGCUUCAGUGUCCAUUUAGUUCUUGACUUUG
ensembl:misc_RNA